GAUUAACGCUGGCGGCGUGCAUAACACAUGCAAGUCGAACGAUGAAACUCAUUAGAUUUCUUCGGAAUGAAACUGAAUGGAUUAGUGGCGAACGGGUGAGUAACGCGUGAGUAACCUGCCUUACACAAGGGGAUAGCCUCUGGAAACGGAGAAUAAUACCCUAUGAAACCAGACAAUCGCAUGAUAAUCUGGUCAAAAUGUUUAGUGGUGUAAGAUGGACUUGCGUCUGAUUAGCUAGUUGGUGAGAUAAAAGCUCACCAAGGCAACGAUCAGUAGCCGGCUUGAGAGAGUGUACGGCCACAUUGGGACUGAGACACGGCCCAGACUCCUACGGGAGGCAGCAGUGGGGAAUUUUGCACAAUGGGGGAAACCCUGAUGCAGCGACGCCGCGUGAUUUAGAAGGCCUUCGAGUUGUAAAAAUCUUUUGUAUAGGAAGAAAAUGACAGUACUAUACGAAUAAGGUCCGGCUAAUUACGUG
rnacentral:rRNA from 1 species